UCGGGCCACCUUCUCCCCGGUGGGGAGAAGGGGAUGGAGAGGUUGCGGGCAUAUUCCCUUCUCCCCACUGGGGAGAAGGUGCCGGCA
rnacentral:miRNA from 1 species